rnacentral:rRNA from 1 species
GAUGAACGCUGGCGGCGUGCUUAACACAUGCAAGUCGAACGGUAUCCAAGGGGACUUUUACCUUCUGGGUGAGCGGGGCAAACGGGAGUAUAACGCGGGAGUAACCUGUCCGUUUGUUGGAGAUAAGCAUUCGAAGGGGUGUUUAAUCCCAUAAGUUCUUUAUACAUCGCAUGGGGGGGGGGGGAAAGCAAUUGCCUCGAUCUGAGAGGAUUCGGGGUCUUUGAGCUUGUUGGUGGGGGGAAGGCUUACCAAGGGUUUGACGGGUAGCCGGCCUGGGAGGGUGGUCGGUGAGAUUGGGACUGAGAUACGGCGCAGACUCGUGCGGGAGGCAGCAGUGGGGAUAUUGCACGAUGGGCGAAAGCAUGAUGCAGCGACGCCGCGUGGGGGAUGAAGGCCUUCGGGUUGUAAACUUGUUUUGCGCUGAACAAGGCAUGCCAGUGAGUGUGUGGAGUGUAGGGGUUGAUUAGCGCCGGCUAACUACGUG